GAUGAAGAACGUAGCGAAAUGCGAUACGUAAUGUGAAUUGCAGAAUUCAGUGAAUCAUCGAAUCUUUGAACGCACAUUGCGCCUGCCAGCACUCUGGCAGGCAUGCCUGUUCGAGCGCCAUUUCAACCAUCAAGCCCUAGGCUUGCGUUGGAGCCCUGCGGCUGCCGCAGGCCCCUAAAAGCAGUGGCGGGCUCGCUAUCACACCGAGUGCAGUAGAUUACUCUUCGCUCAGGGCGUGUGGCGGGUUCCAGCCGUGAAACCCCCUACUUCUCAAGGUUGACCUCGGAUCAGGUAGGAAUACCCGCUGAACUUAAGCAUAUCAAUAAGCGGAGGA
rnacentral:misc_RNA from 1 species